AUUACUAUCAGACCUAUGUUUCUACAUCUAUCCCAUGUCCCAACACAAUUUUCCUUUUCAAAAAAUAAACCAGAUGCCAAAAUUCUCACAUACUUUUCCUUCUCUUUCUCUCUCACUCACAUCUUCCAAUAUCCAAUUCUACUUCUCUCUUCCUCCUCCUCAUCUUCUUCUUUAUUCCUCUUUUUCAUCUUCCUUAUUCCUCUUUUUUAGACUAGAUUUGUUGUAUCAUGGUACUUUCAUAGUUGUGCUUCAACUUCGGUCCAAAUUAAAGAGAAGCAUUCCCUCGGUCCGAACUAUAAAGGGACUUCAGCAGAGCAGAUGGAGUCCAAAAAGGCGGUCUAAGAUGCUCAACAGGCGGCCGAGUAGGCCCUGCAACUCGUGGCCCAACAGGGACCCGAGCAAGUCCAGCAGGAGGCCGAGCAGGGAAACAUAGUCAACUAGGUCCAACAAGGCUAUGAAAAGCGGGAUGAGCAGCUGUUAGAUAUAUUUUCAUUUUAAUAUAUACUAAAUCAUUUUAAAAUUAAAUUUAAAAAAAAAUCGUUUAUAUUUUCUAUGAAGGAUGAUCAUGGUGGACAUGUUCCAAGGUUGGACGCCUGAGCCUGAGAUAUUCAAGGAGCCUUGGAUAAGAUUGUUGAAUGUCCAAACCUUCACAUCAAGUUGCUCCAUGAUAUUGUCUUUUAAAUAUUAAUUUCAAACUUUCCAGAAUGGUUUAUGUGAUGAACGAUUAUGUGUCUUUUAAAUAUAUAUGUUGAUAUACCUUUUGUUAAAUUUCUUCUUCUUCUUUCUUGUAUGUUUGAGGACCAAACUAAAGAGAAGCAUUCCCUGCGUCAGAACAAUAAAGUUUUCAAAAGAUCGGAGGACUUGCAGUGAGGUGAAGAAUAUGAAGCAAAUUUCAAGAUGAACAGUUUUAUUAAUGGAUACACCAUUAUAAUAUUUAAUCAAGGCACUUCAGUAGAGCAGAUGGAGGCCGAAAAGGCAGGCCAGGAGGUCCAACAGGCGGCCGAGUAGGGCCUGCAACUCGUGACCCAACAGGCACCCGAGCAAGUCCGGCAAGAGGCCGAGCAGGGCACCGUAGUCAACUAGGUCCAACAAGGCCAUGAUAAGCGAGAUGAGCAGCUGGAUAAUCAUGGUGGACAUGUUCCAAGGUUGGACGCCUGAGAUAUUCAAGGAGCCUUGGAUAAGAUUGUUAAAUGUCCAAACCUUCACACCAAGUUGCUCCAUGAUAUUCUCUUGUAAAUAUUAAUUUCAAACUUUACAGUAUGGUUUAUGUGAUGAACGAUUAUGUGUCUUUUAAAUAUAUAUGUUGAUUUACCUUUUGUUAAAUUUCUUCUUUUUCUUUCAUGUAUGUUUUGAGGACCAAACUAAAGAGAAGCAUUCCCUCAGUCCGAACAAUAAAGAAUUUAGGAGAAGAAGAAGAAAACGUGAGAGGAGAGGAAGGAAGAAGAAGACCCAUUCAACAUUUAACCUUGCAUGCAUCAUUGAUUCAGCAAUCUCCAUCUUUUGCUUCUGAUUUUCGCAGCUCCUACUGCUCCUCUCCAAGGAUUGUGUGUUACGCGUCUCUUAACAACGCGGACGGUUGGACUGAUCCAAAUACCCUCAUUAUGAUCAUUUCUAGUACAAGAUUCGUUCUCAUCUUGAUCGUUUCUUGUACAAGAUUCAAUGCCAACACCAAUAUCACCUUGAUCUCCAAUGUUUUCAUCAACUAUUUUGUUUGAUAAAAGCACUAUAGACCAUUUCGUACUUGUCGGAUCAUUGACAUAAAACACUUGUUUAGCUUGAGAGGCUAGAAUGAAAGGCUCAUCUUUGUACCCCACCCUGUUGAGAUCCACUUGCAAAAAUCCUGACUUAUCCAUUCGUAUGCCAAUAUUAUUUUCAACCCACUUGCAACCAAAUACAGUGAUUUGAAACUUUGCGUAAUCAAACACCAAAAUGCGCUCGAUAACCCCAAAAUAUGACAAAUUUGCAAAUUUCGGAUUUAAGUCAUUCGCACUUGAUAUGUGCAUUGCUUCAGCUACCAAGGUAACACCACUAUUUUGCAUAGUACUUUUAUCAUCAUGUUCUUUGGUAUAAAAUGUGUAUCCAUUAAUUGCGUAUGUGCUAUAAGAAAACACAAUUAUACUUGGUGUAGCAACCUGCCUAAAAAUUUAUAACUUAGAGAGUCGCCACCUAUUCUACCAAGGCGAAUAGGAAACCUUUAAUGGUUAAGAGAUUUAGGGUAAGAUACUAUAUUCGGGUUAAGGGAAGGUGUUAGGCACCCAAAACCCUUUCCUAAAGGUUAACAUUGCAAAGAUGAAGGUUAUGGCAAAAACAGUGAGAAAGGCAACAGAUAGUUAAUAGGGCUAAAGGCUUAAUUAUUGACAUGAUUAAGAUUUGGAGGAGGGGGACUCGCCUUGUUGCCAAGUGCCUACGUAUCUCCUUAGGGAGAAUCAGAGUCAACGUAGUUCGGGGGACGGGUUGUACGCCCUUUGAGUUUGAAAUUUGAUUUGAUAUGGUUUUGGAGGCCUUUGAGUAGCCUAUCAUAGUUUUGAAUGAGGAUGAAAAUCCGUAUUUGAUAUUGAGGUUUUGAAAGGUUUGA